UACGAAGGGGGCUAGCGUUGCUCGGAAUCACUGGGCGUAAAGCGCACGUAGGCGGACUCUUAAGUCGGUGGUGAAAUCCUGGAGCUCAACUCCAGAACUACCUUCGAUACUGAGAGUCUCAGAGUCCGGGAGAGGUGAGUGGAACUCCGAGUGUAGAGGUGAAAUUCGUAGAUAUUCGGAAGAACACCAGUGGCGAAGGCGGCUCACUGGCCCGGUACUGACGCUGAGGUGCGAAAGCGUGGGGAGCAAACAGG
rnacentral:rRNA from 1 species